rnacentral:lncRNA from 1 species
CCUCUUCUUAAUAAUGACGAUGCACUAUCCUUAAAGUAGAUCCACCUUCCUUGAAGGCAAGCUUGAUGCACUAGGGAGCUAAUGGUCUACUUCCAAGAUUCAACAAACAAUGGAUCUCACCUUGGGUGCACUUUGGAUAUGAGAAUUAUACAGCCUGGGUUUUUAACAAAUCCUCCAGAUAGGUGCAGAAAAUACAACCACAAUGAUAGUGAAGAUGGAUGCUGG